UCCUUCCGUCUUUCUCAUGUUCUCCUUCUCUACUUCUUUUUAUCGGCAAAGACAGGAAUUGGUGUAAAAGACUAGACACAGAGGGUGAUGAUGCGACCGUUUAAAGCUUUCACUACUCUUAGCUUCCACUGUAAUUUGAUUUUCUUUCUACGCAUCUAUCUACCGGGGUAUUUCUGUAUAACAGGAUAUAGUGUUGCAUUUUAGUCUGACUGUAAUGGAAACUGUGUUUAUAAGUGGCAGGGUUGGUGGUCAGUUCUUGUUAACAGGAAAUUAUCACAGUUGCUGAAGGAGGGGGACGAAAAGCAGAACUGUGGACUUCGAGGUGACAUGUCUGCAGUACAAGAUGGUGAGAAGGACGCCGUAGAUCACGAGAAUCCCAUCCAGGAUAUAACACAGUUUCCCGUCUGGCACUUGGGCCUCUGCACACAUUAUGGGAUCACAUUGCAUCAUCAUCAUCAUCACUAUCCCAUCAUCAGGACCUGAGCCCUAGGACCAUGCCCCAGGACUACCUGAC